GAUUACCUGGGGUGUUCGCCUGUGGAUUAUGUCCCUGAGCCGAUACUUUAAACAUAAUGAAUUGGUUCUCUAUUAUUGGUGUGCAGGCUUAGCUAGACUAAGAAGCCUAAAAAUAAUAAUAACUAAUUCUCCUUGAACCAUAGGGUUCAAGGACUGCUGUCCACGACGGCACUCUGGGGCCUUU
rnacentral:other from 1 species